UUUAUUUUCAAAACAUGUUCAUUUAUUUAUUUACAUUGAGCCACUUUUCUAAGCUGGGAGUGCUCCACGACACUUUUCUUUGCUCAUACCAGAUCACCUGAAACAUGUUUGAAAAAGGUUUUGUCAGCGGGGAAAUACUGAUUUACUGAAGACACAUUUGUUAUAAUCUACAGUAUUAAGGGGAAUUACAAUGUUUCUGAUAUCAAACCAACUACCCACAAUAUUUGUCACUCGACCAUCCAUUGGCUAGCCCAUUUGUCCAAUGGUGUCUGUGACUGUGGUCAGAUCACCCCUUGGCCACCCGUUUGUCCAAGUGUGACGGGAAAUAAGUAAUGUAUACAAAACC
rnacentral:lncRNA from 1 species